rnacentral:lncRNA from 1 species
GAAGGCAGCCUCAGGACCAGCCUAAAAGAAAACAAUGUUUUUGAUACACCUUACAACAGGGAGGCCAGAGACUGACUGUCUGCAAGAAGACAUUCAUGAGACUGACCAAGGCAUCUGUCGUCGACCUGCCCUUUCUGCAUACAAAUUGUCUUGGGUCAAGCUUGUGGCCGACGUCUUCCAUUAUCCAAUCGGUGGCAUGGGUUAAUUCACACUGUUGAUUAAAAUAGGUUACGGCUCAGAUCUUCCAGUCUGGAUGACCAGACGACGGGUCCGGAACGGCGAUCCCAAUGCAGACAUCUGCUGCCCAGCCUUGGAGUGGACUUCUUCAUUUGCAGACACCCUGACCGGGUUGACCACCAGAGGGGGAUUGCAACGGCGGUCCCCCAACCCGGACAUCCCCUGGCCAUUCCUGUGAUGCUUUGCAGCUCCCAAAAAUCCUACCAAGGUAGACCACCAGAGGGGGGACUGCAACAGCGAUCACCAACUGGACAUCUGCUGCCCAGCCUUGGAGCAGACUUCUUCAUUCACAGAAACCUUACCCGGGUCAACGACCAGAGGGGGACCACAAUGAU